rnacentral:lncRNA from 1 species
GAGAGAAACUGCACCGCCAGAACGCCUUGCCAAAUCCCACAGGAGCUCAGUGGUGGCAGCAGCCGAGGAGGACCACAGUGGGAAAUGGCACAAAGGCUGGCACCUCACCAAGAACGGCAGGGAUGGAGAAGCAGUUAACAAUGGAGGAGCUGCUUUAAUUCUCCUCCUUUCCUUUCAGCUAUUGGAAGAAUGCUUAGAUGAUGAUUUCCAACACUGUAGUGGACAACAGCACCAUCUGAAGCACUCAGUGAAACCCAAAAUAUGUUCUGGAUGCUUCCUCAAUGCUGUGACACAGGCAUAAGGCCUUAAUCUCAUUCAGGCCCUUAGACUAACCAGCCUCCAGACUCAUAAGCCAAAUAAAGUUUUGUGGAUUUUGAAUGACCUAAUCUCAGGGCAAGGGUUGCAAACUUAGACACAUAAGGAACCGGGCAAGAUGGUGCUGAUGGACAAGGGCAGGAUGUUCUCUGCGCUCUGGUUCCCCCUCUAAAAGGAAACAAUGACUGAUAUGUGACAGUCUGCCAACAACCCUCCGCCUGCAGUGUUUAGAAUGGCUCUUGAAAUCCCUUGAGGUCCUAGAACUUCUGUCUGUCUGCUCCAAAAUUUCAAGGACAUAUGACAUUUUCUUUUAAGG